AGAGUUUGAUCCUGGCUCAGAACGAACGUUGGCGGCGUGCUUAACACGUGCAAGUCGAACGAGAACGUCCCGGCUUGCCGGGAUUAGUAAAGUGGCGCACGGGUGAGUAACACGUGAGUAAUUUCCCUCUAAGCUUGGGAUAACACUGCGAAAGCGGUGCUAAUACCGAAUAAGACCACGGUAUCACAUGAUACAGUGGGAAAAGGUGGCCUCUGUAAAUGCUAUCACUUGGAGAUAAGCUCGCGGACCAUUAGCUUGUUGGUAGGGUAACGGCCUACCAAGGCCAAGAUGGUUAGCUGGUCUGAGAGGAUGAUCAGCCACACUGGAACUGAAACACGGUCCAGACUCCUACGGGAGGCAGCAGUGGGGAAUAUUGCGCAAUGGGGGAAACCCUGACGCAGUGACGCCGUGUGAGUGAUGAAGGUUUUCGGAUCGUAAAGCUCUGUCAGAUGGGAAGAAUAAAGGCAGGGAAAAUAUUUCUGCCUGAUGACGGUACCAUCAGAGGAAGCACCGGCUAACUCCGUGCCAGCAGCCGCGGUAAUACGGAGGGUGCAAACGUUGUUCGGAAUUACUGGCGUAAAGCGCAUGUAGGCGGAUAUGGAAGUCAGAUGUGAAAGCCCUUGGCUCAACCAAGGAAGUGCAUCUGAAACCACAUAUCUUGAGUAUGACAGAGGGAAGUGGAAUUUCCAGUGUAGAGGUGAAAUUCAUAGAUAUUGGAAAGAACACCGGUGGCGAAGGCGGCUUUCUGGGUCAUUACUGACGCUGAGAUGCGAAAGCGUUGGGAGCAAACAGGAUUAGAUACCCUGGUAGUCCACGCCGUAAACGAUGUGCACUAGGUGUUGAGAGUAAUUAAACUCACAGUGCCGAAGCUAACGCAUUAAGUGCACCGCCUGGGGAUUACGGUCGCAAGACUAAAACUCAAAGGAAUUGACGGGGGCCCGCACAAGCGGUGGAGUAUGUGGUUUAAUUCGACGACGCGCAAAACCUUACCUGGGCUUGACAUACCGAUCGCACCUUUUGGAAACAUUAGGGUCAGCUUGGCUGGAUCGGAUACAGGUGCUGCAUGGCUGUCGUCAGCUCGUGUCGUGAGAUGUUGGGUUAAGUCCCGCAACGAGCGCAACCCCUACUGUUAGUUGCCAUCAUUUAGUUGGGCACUCUAACGGAACUGUCGGUGUCAAACCGGAGGAAGGUGGGGAUGACGUCAAGUCCUCAUGGCCCUUAUGCCCAGGGCUACACACGUACUACAAUGGCCAGUACAAAGGGCAGCGAACUCGCAAGGGUAAGCGAAUCCCAAAAAGCUGGUCCCAGUUCGGAUUGGAGUCUGGAACUCGACUCCAUGAAGUUGGAAUCGCUAGUAAUCGCGAAUCAGCAUGUCGCGGUGAAUACGUUCUCGGGCCUUGUACACACCGCCCGUCACACCACGAAAGUCAGUUAAACUAGAUGUCGUUGAGCUAAUUCAUUUCGAUGAAAGGCAGACGCCGACGGUGUAAUUGGUAAUUGGGGUGAAGUCGUAACAAGGUA
rnacentral:rRNA from 1 species